UACGGGGGGGGCAAGCGUUGUUCGGAAUUACUGGGCGUAAAGGGCUCGUAGGUGGCCAACUAAGUCAGACGUGAAAUCCCUCGGCUUAACCGGGGGAACUGCGUCUGAUACUGGAUGGCUAGAGUUUGGGAGAGGGAUGCGGGAAUUCCAGGUGUAGCGGUGAAAUGCGUAGAUAUCGGGAAGAACACCCGUGGCGAAGGCGGUUCUCUGGGACGGUACUGACGCUGAGACGCGAAAGCGUGGGGAGCGAACAGG
rnacentral:rRNA from 1 species